rnacentral:lncRNA from 1 species
GAGAAUGUAUUUGAAAGUCUAAGGUCCCUUGACGUUGGUCAUAACCAACUGGUGGGAAAGCUUCCAAGAUCUUUGAUCCAUUUCUCUGCCCUUGAAGUUCUUAAUGUGGAAAGAAACAGAUUCAACGACACCUUUCCGUUUUGGUUGAGUUCUCUACCAAAGCUACAAAUUCUUGUCUUACGCUCCAAUGCAUUCCAUGGACGGAUACAUCGAGCCUCCUUCCUUCAGUUAAAAAUCAUGGACAUCUCGCAUAAUUACUUCAACGGAGUUUUGCCAUCGGAUUACUUUGUGAACUGGAGUAAAUUGUCAUCACUUGGGACAGAAAAAGAUCGGUCGGAUGUAAACUACAUGGGAGAAGGUACCUAUUACGAAGAUUCAAUGGUUUUGAUGAAUAAAGGUGUAGCAUUAGAGCUGGUACGUAUCCUGAAAAUCUUCACAGCACUCGACUUCUCCGGAAAUAGAUUUGAAGGAGAAAUUCCAAGGUCCAUCGGCCUAUUGAGAGAGCUUCAUGUGCUCAACUUGUCAAACAAUGCUUUCACUGGCCACAUUCCAUCAUCUAUGGGUAACCUGACAGCUCUCGAGUCACUAGACGUUUCUCAAAACAAGCUUUCAGGAGCGAUCCCACAAGAGCUAGGGAAUCUCUCGUACCUUUCUUCCAUGAACUUUUCCCAUAACCAGCUUGUCGGUCUUGUACCUGGAGGCACUCAGUUCCGAACGCAGUCUUGCUCUUCCUUCGAAGACAACCCUGGACUUUUUGGCCCUUCUCUUGACGAAGUUUGCAAAGAUAUACACAAGACAUCAUCGCAAGAGAAUGAAACACCGGAGGAGGCAGAGGAAGAAGACGAAGAGGUGUUUAGUUGGAUUGCAGCUGCAAUAGGAUUUGGACCUGGCAUUGUAUUAGGAUUGACGAUUGGAUACAUAUUGGCCUUCUACAAACCGAGGUGGUUCACGAGUCCUUUUGGCCGAAACAAACACAGAAGCAGAAGCACCACAGCUCAUUAAGAGAGGUAAUCUUCUGAAUUUCAUAGAUUAAAGACUAUUGUAUAGUAUAAUGAAAUUUUCUGGGUUAAUGUAUAUUGUAUGUGAAAAUUAACGCUGUUUUUGUUUGUAUAGCGUUCUUAAACCCAAGAUGAAGAAUCUUUGAAAAACAGAAUGAAGCAACCAGACCAUAGGUAGAGAAGAAGCUUGGGGGAGAAGGCAACUCAUUUUAUCAAAGUCUAAAUAUCAGUGAUUGUUUUUGGUUUAGUUUGGUGUGUUUAUCAUAUACUCUGUUUUUAGCCAAUGUUUGUGUUUCUCUGUAAUUGAACAAUGAAAGAUUGUUUACAAAGCUCAAACUUAUUCUUAUUUAUUAGAUAAACAUGAUUUGAGAGAGGUAAUAAUGUUCUUGCUCCGACUAAAUCAAUUAUUCUUCUGCCAAAUGAAGAACUAAGAUUCAACACACAUCUCAGAACAUUGAUCCUUAUUCUCUUUUGGUAAUAUUAAUUAGCUGAGUAAAAUGAUAACUUACUUAGCUUAUUGACAGAUAUUUCACUUAGCAGAUAGAUAUAUUAGUUAGCUGCGAUCAAGAUCACCGACCAGUUAAAGCUAUAGAUAUACAGGCUUAAAACCCAAGCUUUGCCAUCAGAAUGAGAGAAAAAAAAUCAUCUCACAAAUCAUUCCACUUUCCAACUACUGAAACUCUUCAAUAGUCAAAUGACUCAAAUCUGAAUAAGAGAGUAUACAUACACACAUACUUAAGUCCUAAAUCUUGUUUAUAAAUGUAACAAAAAUAACCCAUCAUUUUUAACCAAAAACAUUGAACGAAGAAAUUACCCUAUGUUUAUCUGAUAUGAUUGUGAUGUAUCUGCCAUCACCAAGUCCUAAAUCUUGUUUAAGGUGAUUAACGAACCAUCCCCAGUUGAUGUCGUUUUCGAUCUCCACUACUGCCCACGCUAUAGGAACAAUUCUAUUAUCUCCAUCCCUUCCAACUGCAGCUAUCAAUAGGCCUUUAACAUCCCAUUUAAGGAAUGCACCAUCUAGUCCUAUGAUAGGUCUGCAAUGUGUUUUCCAAGUGACUCGUUGUGCUUCAAAACAGACAUAAAUACGAUCAAACCUUUGCUUGCUUCCGGGUGUUGGCCCUGGAAUAGUCUGAAUAUCCAUAAUGGUUCCUUUAUUAGUCUUAUGAAUCUCUGCUUCGUAAUCCCAGAUUCGAGCAAAAUGUGUUCCAUGGCCUGCUCGUCUUUGCCUAGUAAUUUUGGUCUAAAUUACUAGGCUAGGUCAGUAUCUAAUUUGGCUAGGUCAAUAUAAGUUCGGGUGUUUUUUGGCUUAUUACAAAGUUUGUAUUUUUUUUUGGCAAAAUCAUAUAAGUUUGGUAUUUAGAUGACCGAUUUCCCUACACACAUACUUAAGGGUCACGAUGACAAAAUCUUCGGUUUAACCAAUAAGAGUAUUCAUCAAAAGACAUCUUAUAAACCAAUGGAUUAUAUUUUAAAAACUUGGUGAAAACAAACAAGAAAUUUAUCAAUAAAAUACAAGAACACUGGGUCAAUAACUGCUUAAUUCUUUUUUUUUUUUAAAAAAACAAAAGGUAAAUGAUGCAAUUGAUAGUAUAAUCUACACUACUCUAUACUCCACUGUUUUACUUUUUUUAUUUUAAGUACACAACUUUUUGUUAUUUUUUAUUCUUGGGAGAUGUAUAUCCUAUAAACAAAACUGUGUUAAAUGGAAGGACUUGAUAGACACCAAAACCAGAAGAGAAACGAAAACAAACGGCUCAAACUUGACAGUAUAAAAUAUCUACUGUUAAAACAUCAUCCAAAAUUUAUAAAUUAACGAUUGAGAAAUAUUUUGAUAAAAAAUAUAAUUCGAUAAUAUUGAUCAGAUUACAGCAUCACAAAGUCAGUGAACAAAUCAUAUAAAACAAACUUGAAUAAAGAAAAUUGUAUCAUGCCAAUUGCCAAAAGAAACCAAACAAAUAAAUAGAUAACAGAAAGUAGAAACAUUGACUGACCGAUUACUAAGUUCUGGACAAAAGACGAAGACUUGAAAAGUCAACUUCAGUCUUCUUCCUUAUUGUCCCACCAAUAAUUUUACUUUUUCUCCUUCAAUCUCAUCUUCUUCCUCAAUCCUCUGAACAUCGACCACAUGUUUCUUCAUCCAUUGACCUCAAAUACUUGAUUUUCACUAUCGACUCUCUUUCUUUCUCUCUCUCUCUAGAUUUUCCGUCAAAGCUAUGGAGAAACUCUGUCUUCGAAACUCUGUUUCUCUCAUGACGAUGGUGGUUAUUGUUCUUCUUCCUCGUUGCACUCUUUCUACUACUUCUACAUAUUCUCGUCCCGAGAAGUUGUACGUCAACUGUGGGUCGGAUUCUAAUGUCACUUACGGUAACCGGACUUUUGUCGGAGAUAUGAUCUCUGGUGGUAACUCCGUUUCAUUCACCAAGAAAGGAACUGAAGCCAUCAACCAAUCAGGAUCAGGAAUCUACGAAAUGGUUAGGAUAUUCACAAGCCCUUCUUCUUACAAGUUCCAACUCGAUUCCGUUGGUCUGCACUUCGUGCGUCUCCAUUUCUCUGCUGUCUCUUCUCGGACACAGCUUUUAGCUGCUCGUUUCACAAUCUCAGCUACUUCUCACUUGAAAAGUUUCUCGCUUCAGAAUUUCAAUGAGACCCCACGAGUUGAGGAGUUUCUCCUGAUGAUUGACUCGCCGGAAUUCGAAAUUCGAUUUGUGCCCGAUCAUUCAUCCAUGGCUUUCGUCAACGCCAUCGAAGUGUUCUCUGCUCCAGAUGACCUAGAAAUUCCGUCAGACUCCGACAAGAAUCUGCAUACGGUUUACAGAUUAAACGUAGGAGGCAAGAAGAUCACACCAGAAAACGACACCUUGGGAAGAACUUGGUCAUUAGACGAUGACUUCCUCUACGAAAAAGAUUCUGCGAGGAACAUUAACUCAACACAAAAGCCUAACUAUGAGUCAGGAACAGUGACGCAAUUCACUGCUCCUGAUUUCGUCUAUCAGACAGCUAAAACGAUGAACCAUAGCUCGAACGAGGGGGUGGUAGAGGGAAUGUUGAUGAACGUCACUUGGUCAUUUAAGGUCAAAAGCAGCUCAAGACACUUCAUCAGGGUUCACUUCUGUGAUAUCAAGAGUGAAUCACAAAAUCCCGACUCCGAUUUCUAUCUCUAUGUAAACGGACAAUCACGACUAGAUGUAAAGCCUUCAGAGCGUNNNNNNNNNNNNNNNNNNNNNNNNNNNNNNNNNNNNNNNNNNNNNNNNNNNNNNNNNNNNNNNNNNNNNNNNNNNNNNNNNNNNNNNNNNNNNNNNNNNNAUAUAAAUCAUAAAUAUUAUUUAUUUAAAAUUCUACUUGAAAAGCCUUUAAAUAAAGUAACUUAAACUUGUAUAAGUAGUAUAUUUUAUAUAUAUAAAAAAUAAAUUUGUAACUAAAAAAGUGAUAAUAGAGAUUUUAAUAUUAUGGUGGUUUAUUUUUGUUGUUAAUGGAGAUUUUUUAUUUUUAACCAUAAUAUUAGGAUUUGGAAACUUUUUUGAAUUUUUAAAUGUUGAUAUGGAUGCCUUAAAAAUAAUAUGGCUAAACUGUUAUUAAUAAUAGAAUAGUUUAAAUUACAAAUUUUCCUAUAUUGUUUUGUAUUACCAAUGUAAUUUUAUAAUUUAAAAACUUUUUAAAUUUUAAUUAUUGAUGUAGACUAAAAACAUUGACCUUUUACAUGUUAUGUGGAUGUCUUUGGAAGCAUAUAGCUUCAGCUUUUAUUUUUCUAUAAAUAUUUUUUUUGUUAACAAUACAGUUUUAAAAUUUGAAAAUUUUCUAAAUUUUAGAUAUUGAUAUAAACCAAUAGAAUUGAAAUUUUAAAUCCUAUGUGGACACUCUUAGAGGUAUAUAGCUUCAGGUUUUAUUUGUAAUAUAUUUAGAUAUUAACACUGGAAGAUCCCACACGAGGCCCAUUGCGGUAAGUGAUUUUGGUUUCUCCUCUAUGUUUUGAGGCUUACGGAAUGUAUUCUGAUACUGUUUGAUUCAGCUAAUUGUUACCUUUGUGGUUCAGGUUGGAUUGCUAAACCCUUGUCAGACACCAUGUUAUUCCAAAGAUUUUCCUCGGAUACCUCAGUCUCUUCGCCUUAAUGCAGAACUUCUUUCUCUAUUUCUAGUGGUUCGUUUUUCAAAAAUUUUGGGUAUCAAUCACUUGACAUGUUUCUCGGAUUACUUGAAAUUUAUCAUUCUUCUCAAAUCUGGUGGCAAAACUUUAGAGAUUUUACAGUCUCUUUUUCAAUAUUAAAACAGCUUGUAGUGUCUUUGUUUUCAUCAUAAUCAUUUUAAUUUAGCUAAUAGUUAAACAUAUAGUUUAGUCAAGUUGGUUCUUAAUUUUACAUUGUAAUGAUUCAUUCUUUAGUGAAACCUAUCUCUAUUUUUUUGCUUUUUUAAUUGAAAUGGUUGUACAUACAUAAAAAAAACUUAAAAUUUAUUAUAGUUAUGUGAAAAAAAUUUGGAUGCUAAUGUAGGAGUAUGUAAAUAAAUUUAAAUAUUUUAUUUGUUCUUAAUUAUUUAUAUAAUUGAAACAUCUAACUUAAAUUUAAAUUUUCCUAUUUUAAAAUAUUUAUUUUAUUUUUAUUAUUAUUAAUAUAAAUUAUAUAUAUAAUUUAUUCAUCUUUAAUAAAAUUUUAAAACAAUAAUAGAAUUUAGAAACUUUUUUUAUUUUUAAUGUUGAGGUGGACCAAUAAAAAAUUUAUACAAAAUUUCUUUAUUAAACAAUAAUAUUAGAAUUUGUAAACUUUCUUAAUUUUUUUAUUUAACACUAAUAUUAAAAUUUGGAAAUUUUCUUAAUUUUGAAUGAUGAUGUGGACCAAUAAAAUUCUUAAUUUCCUUAUUUAAUAAUAAUAUUAAAAUUUGUAAAUUUUCCUAAUUUUGAAUGAUAAUGUGGGCCAAUAAAAUUGUAUUUUUUAAUCCUAUGUGAACGCCUUGAAAAGCUUAUAGCUUCAUGUUUUAUUAGUAUAAGAUUAUAUGCAAAUCUUAUAUUUUGCGUCCAUGCUAUGCGUGGAUAUUUGGUCGAUAAAAAUUAUAUUUAUCAAUAUAAAAAUUUUCUAUAUUAAUGUUUUAAUUAUAUAUUUAAAAUAUUAUAAUGUUAAUCUAAUAAUUUUUAUGUAAAUUAUAAGGUUUUAACGGUUUUUUUAAUCUAUAUAUAAUAUGUUAUAUUUCAAAAACGUAUUAUUUGGUCAAACACUUAUAAGUAAAAUUUUACAAAUUAAUCAAAUGCUAAUUUUAAAUAUAGUAUUGACAUGAUGAUAAAAUAUUAUACAUUCACUUUUUUAAAUCAUGAAGAUAUUUUUUUUUAUCAUUUUCACUUUUAUUUCAAUUAUAUAUGUGUUUUUUAAAAACAAUAAAAAUAAUUAUAUUUAAUUUUUUUUCCUUCUCUUGUAAUUAACUAAUAAAUAAAAUAUUUGCUUUUGAGGUUAAUAAUAACUAUAAACUUGAAAUCAAAACAGCAUAUGAAUAUAAAAUGAAUAAAAUCACUAAAAAUUUUUGAAUUAAAUAUAUUUUUGAUAAUUGGUUGUGUAAAAUUUUAAAUAAUUUUUUAAUUAUUAUUCCUCAUCUCUUCUAAUGAGAAUGAAAAAAAAUUUCAUCAUGUUCAUUUUUAUUUUUGUUAUAUCUGUUUUUUUAUGAAUAUGUCAUAUUUGUAUAUUUUAAUGAUUUGUGUAUGACUAUAUUCAGUUUCAUCAUAUUCAUUUUUACUUCUUUGAAUUAUAAUUAAGUAGGCAAAAUCGGUAUAAUUAAAUACAUUUAAUUUUUUAAAAAAAAAAAAAAUUGAACAACUCAAAACAAAGAGUUUCUACAUUAAUCUAUUGCAAUUCCAAGUCGAAUUUUUUUUAAAAAAAGAAAAUUUUGAUUAUUUUUCAGUAAUAUAUUACAUAAUAUUAUGUGAAUAUAUGUAUUGCAUAUGUUAAAACAUUUAUAUGAAUAUAAAUUAUAAUUAUUAGUUAUUUAAAAUUCAAUGUGAAAACCCUUAAAAUCAAGUAACUAAACUUGUAUAAGUAGCAUAUAUUUGUUUUGUAGAUGAUAAAUUAUAUUUGUAACUUAAACAGUGUUAAUGGAGAUUUUAAUAUCAUUUUGGUUUUUUGUGUUGUUAACAGAGAUUUCUUUAUUUUUUAAUUUAUUUUUUAACUAUAAUAUUAGAAUUAAGAGUUUUUUAAUUUACAUUUUUGUUAUAUACAAAUAAAAUUGAUAAUAGAAUAAUAUAACUUUAACUAUUAUUAAUAAUAGAAUAAUUUUAACUAACACUUUUACCUAAAUUGUUUUGUAUUAACAAUAUAAUUUUAUAAUUUAGAAUUUUUUUAAAACUUUAGUUAUUAAUGUAGACUAAUAAAAUUGACCUUUUAAAUCUUAUGUGUAUGUCCUUACAGGCAUAUAGCUUCAAAUUUUAUUUUUCUAUAAAUAUAUUUUUUUGUUAACAAUAUAAUUUUAAAAUUUAGAAAUUUUUUUAAAUUUAAAUAUUAAUAUGGACUAAUAAAAUUAAACUUUUAAAUCAUAUAUGGAUAUUCUUAGAGAAAUAUAGCUUUAAAUUUUAUUAAUAAUAGAUUUAGGAAUCAAACAUGGAGGAUGCCACACAAGGCUCGUUGCGGUAAUUGAUUUUGAUAUUUUCUCCUUGUUUUGAGGUUUACCGAAUGUAUUUGGAUGAUGUUUGGUCAGCUAAUUGUUACUUUUAUGGUUAAAAUUAGAUUUUUAAAAUCCUAUAAAAUGCCAUGUUAUUUUAAAAAAAAUUUUCGGAUAUCUUAGUCUCAUUCGUCUUAAUGACAAAACUUCUUUCUCUAUUUUCAGUGUUUUGUUUUUCAAAAGUAUCGAGUAUCAAUCACUUGACAUGUUUCUUGGAUUGGUUGGAAUUUAUCAUUCUUCUCAAAUUUGAUGGCUAAGCUUUAGAGAUUUUAUGAUCUUUUUUUCAAUAUUAAAGCGGCUUGUAGUGACUUUGUUUAUAUCUUCUUUCAUUAUAUUCUUUGUAAUUUAGCUAAUAGUUAAAAAUAUAAUUUAGUCAAGUUGAUUGUAUUUUUUUGUUUUUGUUAAUUUGAAAUAGUUGCACACAUAGAAAAAUUGGACGCUAAUGUAAGAGUCUCUAAAUAUGUAUGUAUAAAUCUAAUUUAAAUUUAUAUUUUCAUAGUUUAAUAUUAUUAUUUUAGUUUUUAUUAAUAUAAAUUUUAUAUAUGAUUUAUUUAUCUUUAAUAAUUUUUAAAAACAAUAAUAAAAUUUAGAAACAUUUAAAUUUUCAAUAUUGAGGUGGACCAAUAAAAAUUUUAUACAAAAAUUUCCUUAUCCAUCAAUAGUAUUAAAAUUUGUAAACUUUCCUAAUUUUCUUAUUCAGCAAUAAUUUUAUAACUUGUAAAUUUUCCUUAAUUUUGAAUGUUGAUGUGGACCAAUAAAAUUACUCUUUUAAAUCCUAUGUAAAAACCCUUAGAGCAUGGCAGUUUUACACAGGUUCUAAGGUGGGGUUUAUAAGUUUUUUGGAUUUUAAAAAAAUGAAAAAAGCCCAAUAUCUCGUGAACCGGUUCUUGUUUUAGAGUUUUUGGAGACUGUAUUUAGAAGGGUUCAUAAGUGACGUGUCUGCUUCUCAUUCGUUCAACAAGAAAUUUUUUUACGCUCUCUCUCCUCUUCCACUUUCUCUGGUUUUUCGUUUAUGUCGACAUUUAUUUCUCCUCUUCCAACCACGAUUUUUUCUCUGGUGAUUUCAGAUCAUGGGCUAAAAAAAUGAAAGCUUUGCAUGAACCCACUUGAAAAAGAGCUGGGAUUUUCAUUGGAAUCAAAGCAUCACUCUUUCCUCGAUCAUUGUUACAAAUCGAACAGACGGUAAUGCCGGAGGCUCAAUUCCGAGAUAAAUUUGAUCACGUCGAUUUCUUUCUGGUUUGUUACGUGUUUGAACUGCCAAACCAAUUCAUUCAUUAUAUAAAAUCAAAACCGAGAACAUCAUACUUGAGAUCACUGUUCUUCUUUUGCUUCAUAGUUUGUGAAGGAAAAUUAAACAAAAAAAAUUUUAGAUUUCAUCAAACCCAGUUUAAGAACCUCUAAUGAUGUUCACCAUUGGAGGAAUAAAAAACUUUGGAGUUCUAAACCAUUCUUUAAUCAAAAAUAAAUUAUUAAAAAAUAGCUAUGAACCCCAAGAGGAGGUUCACCAUUACUGGUGCUCUUAGAAACAUAUAGCUUCAACUUUUAUUAGUAUAAGAUGUUUUCUCAUUUUUUUAUUUUAAAAUAUAUCUACUGAUCUACAUAUUUGAUUUACUAAGGUUAUUUUCUUAUAACGUAUCUCGGACUUGGAAAAUAUCAUGAAUGUGAAUUCAAAACAUUGAUUUGACAAACUUUUUCUCUCUCGAAGCUCUUUCGCGUGCUUCCGUCUUGGUGGUCUUCUCCGGUUAUGGCGCUCAUCGCUGGACUGUGAGAAGGCCACCCCAAGGUUAGUUUUGUAAUUCGCGCCCAUCAUCGACGGAAGAGGUUCAUCGGCGGUGGAUUUGGAGGCGACCUAUUCUUCUCUGCAGUACUGUGGCAUGGAAAACCAGCGCGACGAGCGGCUGCGGAAGCUUGGUGGCCUUGACAAAGUGGUGUUGUGGAGUCUCAGUGAUUUGUCUCUGAUCAAGGGCGGCGGAGUGUUUCAUUGGAGAUCUUGCCGCAGUUCUAUCGAGGCUUAGAGAGGCAACUUGUUUUCGCUAGUUUGGUGGGUUGGGCCGUUUGUCGGGGACAGUUCUCCUGGUCGACGGUUGGAUCUACCUAAGGAUGGCGGUUCCUCUCGGUGGUGUUGUCAACUUGUCGGAGUCGGAUACUGUUCCUUACCGGAUUGAAGAUGGUGGUUCACGUGGUAAAAAAGAGGAGAUGUGCAUCGCGCGGCGGUGUUGGUUUCGAAGGAAGAGAAAAUCUGUGUGUCGGUUACUGGAUCUGGUGGUAGUCGACGAUUUGGCCGUGGGUUAUUCCAUGCUUUUGGUCAUGUCACUCCGGGAGUAGGAGUAUUCGGAAUCUUGCUGUGAACGGAUCUGGUUUCCGAAAUUGGACAACCUAGUUUCCAGUUCCUUAAAGGCGACGAUAGCUCUGCGCCGUUCUCGCAUACGCUGGAGGAAGAUAUGCAUGGGCUCGAGCUACUUUUCCCAAUCACAGAUUUAAUCUUAACCUAGUCCAUACGCUUUACCUUAGCCUAUUUCCAAGUCUUUUUUCAUUUUUUUGUUCAGGUUUACCACCGGCGGAGAUGUACUGUUCCGAUACCCUUUUAGGAAUUUUAUUAAUAAAAAUAUAUAUUUUUUUAAAAACAUUCAUUUUGACACGUUUCGACAUUUCAUAGUUUAUAAAACUGUCACAUACUCACAUGGUUUUUGUGAUAUGCUUACAACUAAUAAAUGUCUUUGGUACAAUUGUUUUUCAAUUUUUAGUUCUACCAAUUUUUAUUAUUUUUACGAUAAAAGUUAUCAUUUUAAAAAUAUGUUGAUUGUCACUAGUUCAGUGUUUUAUAUGGGAAAAUGGUCAAAAUUAAUCGAACUAAAUUUGAUGUGUCGAAAAAAAUCCGAACUAAAAUACGGUGCUAAUAACUAUCUAAACUCUAAAUAAUUCAAAUUUCCUAUCUGAAUUCUAAUAUAUGUGUCAAAAUCUAUCUUGACUAACUUUGACAUUAGUAACUGUUAAAAAAUGCUAACGAGGCAUGCUGACGUUGUCAUUUUAAUAAAACGAUAUUUUUUUUGUUGUAAAAAAAAUCAAAAACUUAUCCUCUUACCAGAACUUGACUUUUUAAUUUGUAGUUAAAUGUGUGGACCAGUUGAACCGUGAAACAAUAUUAAUACUUUUUACAAACAUAUUUAUAUAUUAUUGAUAUGCUGCAACAUUACAAUCAUGAGACCUAAAGAGAACAAGUAACAUCCCGUGGAUUAUCAAAGCCAUUACAAAAAGUAACCUGUUUGCUCUAUCGAGAUCUAAAGAGAACGAAUUCUCACCCAAAAUCGAUUUUCUCCUUUUGUUAAGCUUCUUCAAUCUCGUUUUUCUUCUACGGUUUUUUGGUUUUCUCUGCCAGAAUUGGUAGAGAGAGAAUGGAGAAGACGAAGUUGUUGCUGCUGCAAUUCUCCGAACUCAACAUCGAACACAGUUCCCGAUUAAUUGCAGCCUCUCAAUGCUCCAACAAUGGAAUUCGAUGAAGAAGAAGAACUCUCUAACCCUAAUUCGAUUUUGAGGGUGUAUUUUAUCCCCAAUUUAAUAUGUGGUCGUUUCGUUAAUUUUUUUUUUCGAGUUUAGACAUAUAUAUCAAUAACAUAUAAAUGUAUUUGUAAAGAAAAUCAAUAAUAUCUCACGGUUCAGUUGGUCAUUGCUUAAAUGGGGUUUACAAUGGCGCAGAUUGAAGUCCAAGGAAUAGAAAAAAUUUAGAUUUUUUUUAACAACGAAAACGACGUCGUUUUAGUAAGGUGACAACGUGUCAUGCCAAGUCAUAUUCUAUCAUGCCUCGUCAACGUUUUUUAACAGUUGAUUAACGUCAAAGUUAGUCAAAGUAGAUUUUAACACAUAUAUUGGAGUUCGAAUAGGAAAUUUGAAUUAAUUUGGAGUUCAGAUAGUUAUUAGCACCGUAUUUUAGUUUAGAUUUUUUUUAGCAAAUUUAGUUCGGGUUGGUUUUGGCCAUUUUCCCAUGUUUUAUAUAUAUAAGAUUUUAUUGGUUCAUGUGUUUCAAAUAAUAUCGAUCUCCAAUCAAAAUCUUGUUCAUUGGAUUAUCGAUGUAAGAAUUAUCGUCAAUAUCUUAUAUUAUUAGUUUAACAACUUAUAUGUACUUGUUGAAAUCUGGUGUCUUUAAUUCAACACAUCGACAACACCAAGAAAAACAAAAAAAUUGUAAUAUCUAAUGGAUCACUUUUUCCUCAUAAUUUUAUCUUUCUUGGUCUUCUCCAUCCUUUCUCUAAAACGUUUGAUCGGUAGAUGGCGGAACAAGUUUAACUUACCUCCAACUCCAGCUUGGUCACUGCCGGUGAUUGGUGAUUGGUGUAGAAAGUAAAUUUUGAGGAGAUAAAUAUUGCAAUAUAAGAAAACAAAUUGAGACAUAGAAAAACAUUUUAUAAAAGCGGAUUAAGGAAAAAUGAGAAAUGGAGGCGAGAUGAUCUCUUUCCUUAAUUCAAAAUAUCUCCCGCAGUGUGGCGGUUAGAUGAGAUAAUGAAUCCCAUGAUACAACCACUGAUAUUCGUAUAAUCGCAGCACCCGAUUAUUGAUAACACCGGAUUUUGACUAUUUUUAUGGAUCAUUUUAAUAUCUUUUACAGGUGUUUUUACUCCAUUUUCAAAGGUUUUCAAAGGAUUUCUAUAUUUUCGGAUUUUAAAAGACUUUUCAGGUAAUGUGGGAUAAAGAGGCACAAAAUAGAACAAAAAGACUCUUUUGGAUAAAUGCAGACCGUCAGAACUUUCAUGGAGAGACGAAGACCUUCUCACCGUCUGAUCACCCUCAAAAUUGGACAACUUAUAGAAGAAUCAACCAGCUUUCAAAUGCACUUAGUUUGGAGACAUUACAACGGUUGGAUCUCAAGAUAUUCCAUUAGCCCCGGAGCCACGCGGAGUCGGCCAGCAACUCACGCGACCGCGGCCAACAAGCUAUUUGCCGCGGUCAGAAGCUUCCCGAUCGCAGCCAACAAGCCAAUUGCCGCGGUCACAACACUCCCGACCGCGGCAUUCAACCUCCGACUUAAAGCCCACUUAUCUGAAGCCCAAAGUCAUUCCCAGCCUCAAUUCCGGAACCCUAGAGACCAUGGAGUAUUGGAGACUAUAAAUACAUGUCAUUUAGGUCGUUUUUAGAGAGAACCCUAGAUACUUUACAGAAACCCUUUUCUUUUAGCCGUUUUUAUGAGAUUUUUGUAGAAGAUUUUUCAAGUCCGAGUUCUUCAAUAGAGAAGCUUUCUUUAUCUCUUUUCUUUACUGUUUUUCAUUACUUUUAUUAAAACCAAUGAUGAUGUCGAACUCAGCCAUGUCUGAGUAGAUCCCGAGUUGGGCUUAGGGUUCCCGAAAGGGGCUCUCAUAAUCGAUUAAAAAAUUAGAGAUUGAUGUGUUUCUAGGGACAAAAGACGAUGACUUGAAAAAUCAACCCUGGUCUUUUCCCUUAUUGUCCCAUUAGAAAUCUCAGUUUUCUCUUCAAUCUUAUCUUCUUCCUCAGAAUCCUCUUCACAUCGACCACAGGUGUCUUCAUCCAUCGACUUAUUGAAAUUUCUUCUAGUAUAAGUUAAACCAAAAUGUGUGGAAACUGACUAUUCAACACAAAAGACUUUUCACUCUCUUCGUUCAACGUGAAUAACACUUCGUAGCAAAUGACUAGAUGGUGAGCCAAGCGAAGCUGAGUGGAAAUGGAGCACUGACUAUAUGUAUAUAAAGAGAUGGCAUGAAACCAAUUUAACCAUCACAAUUUCCAUUUGGUCGCUUCUUUUUCACUAUUGAUUUUCAAGAAAGUUAAAAAUUAGCUUAAAGAAAUAACGAAAGGCUCUUGAAACUCAAUGAGUACCAUUCAUAUUUCUCUUUCUUUUCUCCUCUUGUUCGUUUUUUAUUUUCAUGACGUGUUUGCGUCUCCUACUAGACACUUGUGUCGUCCAGAACAAAGGGAUGCACUUCUCGAGUUCAAGAAUGAGUUUGAGAUUCGGAAGCUUUCUUUUUUUCAGUGUUAUGUUAAUGGUAGCGUUGUUAUUGGAAUGGUAUCAAGUGCGAUGCCAAAUCUGGGGAAGUGAUCGAGCUAGACCUCAGUUGCAGCUGUCUCUACGGCAAGUUGCGUUCCAAUACCUCUGUUUAGGCUUCACAGCUUUUGUUUUCUCACCACUUUAUACCUUUCAUAUUAGGUCCCCAAAUCCCGUUCUCAAUUGGAAAUCUUUCUCUUCUCACUUCUCUCGACCUUUCUGAAUAUGGGUUUUCGGGUCAGAUUCCAUCUUCAAUUGGAAAUCUUUCACAGCUCACCUCGCUUGAACUUUCUUCCAAUCAGUUUUCGGGUCAGAUUCCAUCUUCAAUUGGAAAUCUUUCACAGAUCACCACUCUCCGUUUUUCCUUUAAUCAGUUUUCGGGUCAGAUUCCGUCUUCAAUUAAAAAGCUCUCUCAUCUCGAAACUCUUGACCUCAGUCAUAACAGACUCACUGGUGAAAUCCCAGAUUCUUUUGCCAGUUUGAAAAAUUUGACCGAGUUAAAUGUUAGUUUCAAUAAGCUUAGUGGUAAUUUUCCAAUUUCACUUCUAAAUUCGAUCAACUCACAGGAACGCUUCCUCCAAACAUUAGCUCACUCUCCAACUUGGAGUGGUUUUAUGCAUAUGACAACGAUAUAGUUGGAACCAUUCCUUCUUCUCUCUUCACCAUUCCUUCUUUGACACAAAUUGAUUUGUCAAAUAACCAACUGAACGGCAUUCAUGAGUUUGGGAAUAUACCUUCACCAACAAAGCUAGUGAGGUUAGAGCUUGGCGGUAACAACUUGAGAGGGCCAAUCCCGAGAUCCAUUUCCAAAUUAGUCAACCUCUAUUACCUUGACCUUUCCAAUUGGAACACCCAAUUAGGCCCAAUUGACUUGAGUAUCUUCUCGCAUCUCAAGUCACUCCGAUUUCUUGGCUUAUCCCAUUUGAACACCACCACUACGAUUGACUUGAAUGCCAUCUUAUCAUUUUUCCAGUCGCUUGGAUCAUUGGAUCUCUCAGGGAAUCAUGUUUCAGCCGAAAACAAGAGCUCAGUUUCAGAUCCUCCUUCGCAAAUGAUUAGUUCUUUAAACUUGUCAGGCUGCGGUAUUACCGAAUUUCCAGAGAUCAUAAGAACCCAACAGUCUAUGAGAUUUCUAGACAUUUCCAACAACAAAAUCAAAGGUCAAGUGCCUGGCUGGUUAUGGACGCUACCAGAUCUGGAGUACGUGGAUCUUUCCAACAACACUUUCGUCAGUUUCGAAAGACCAACGAAACAUGGACUAUCCUCUGCCUUUAUGUACUUGUUUGGCUCCAAAAACAAGUCUAAGGUCCCUUGACGUUGGUCAUAACCAACUGGUGGGAAAGCUUCCAAGAUCUUUGAUCCAUUUCUCUGCCCUUGAAGUUCUUAAUGUGGAAAGAAACAGAAUCAACGACACGUUUCCGUUCUGGUUGAGUUCUCUACAAAACCUGCAAGUUCUUGUCUUACGCUCCAAUGCAUUCCAUGGACCGAUUCAUCGAGCCUCCUUCCUUCAGCU